rnacentral:rRNA from 1 species
GCUUACGGCCAUACCAGCCUGAAUACGCCCGAUCUCGUCUGAUCUCGGAAGCUAAGCAGGGUCGGGCCUGGUUAGUA